CUCAACGUCACGUGACAAGUAACACGUCAUCCAUCGGAGGAUAUAAAAGCAGACAGGGCGACUCCAAAAUCAGCACUACAGAGGUUACGCCGAAGGAAGAAACUGCAAUCAAACUAACAUUUACAACAAACCCACAAUGAGAUUCGCCGUAAUUGUAUGUGUUGCACUCGUGCUGUUGGUUACCUACGUUAAAUGUAACAACCCAGACGAAUUUCUGAAUGAACGGGAUUUGCGGGACGUGAACGGCGAGGAGAUGGAAGGUACAACAGAAGCCGGUAGUUCAGUCUCCGGCUUAAGGGUGGAUUAUGUAACCUUCCUCUGUGUCUGUGCGACUGCUUUGCUGUUCCGAUAAAAUUCAGCAUUAAAUGGACAGUACAGUCCGUUUAUUGAGUACAACGAUCCUGACGGACGGCGCCUAACCGACACCGAUCAACGAACAUCAUGCGGCUACUGUCAUGAUUGGAUGCAAUUCCUGUUUUUGUGAAUGUUGGGAGUUUUCAUGUAAUUCUACUUUGACGAAUUUCAGGAAAACAGUCCACUUCAAAAAGUCUAGCGCCCAAACCUUAUAAUUGUCUAAUCUAUGUAUCAAUCCUAUUAGCUGACAUAUUUUCUGUUGAUAUCGUGUGACUUUUAAUGAGAGGCGAUCUGCCACGAUGAAUAGUUUUGUGAUUGGUUGCAUUCAGAUUUCAUGACAGUAGCCCGGAUGUAGUAAUGCUCGUGUCUAUUCUGAGUUGUUAUGACGGGACUGACGAAUAUGGACAAUGAGGGCGCUGUUUCUUGCCUUAGUCGAAGUUCGGCUGCUGUCGCAAAAGCCAUGACAGGACAUUCUGCAUUUCGGAUAUUCAGGUUAUUUAAAUAGGUACACAGUGUAACGAUACUAAGCAUAACGUGACCACACGUACUAAAAUGACUAAGUUAAAUUAUCUUUACACACCAAUGUCGUCCCAUAGUAUCUCUAUGGUGACAGAUACCAGUAUUGCUAUGUGGAAGAUACCGUGACACAAGUAUGCAUGAAUGACGUCAUGAUUUGAUGAAAACGGAUGCCAGGCACAUGAAGGCACAUAAUCAAAGACACUAAAAACUAGUGUCUUUGACAUAAUGGAUGAUGUUCUAAUACAUAUGCAUUGCAAUUCGUAAUGUCUAUUUAUAGUUCAAACGAUUCCGUGUCUGAGAUCAUGGCAUCUGUCGAAAAUAUUGUAAAAGCAUAGGAAUUUCAUUGUAAUGUUUCGCAGUAAAACUGGCGAACUUUUGGAACAACCGGAAGUAAAUUAACAUUGAAAUCCCGCUUCUGUCGAUACAGGGUAAACGUGACAUCUUUCUGCCGCUUUCAUGUCGGGCUUUCCAUAUAUACCCUACCUCCUGCAUUUUCAUAUUUAUGUAUUUAUGAACUUGACAAAUAAAGUAUAACUUUAGAGUAAAUGAAA